GAGGAGGAUCUAAGGUUCCAGUGGGUAGUGACUCGCAAAAUGUGGUCCAGCCGCCUUUCCAGCAACCCAUGCUGGUCCCUGUGAGCCAGUCUGUGCAAGGAGGCCUCCCAGCAGCGGGGGUACCAGUGUACUAUAGCAUGAUCCCACCUGCUCAGCAGAACGGUACGAGGUGAGGACUCCCAGAGAGCCAGGACAUCACCCAUAGACCUUCAGCAACGGUUGCAUCAUGGUUUUGUUUCCACUGGCCUAAGAAAGGCAGGGGUAAAGAUCCCAGUAGUUCCCUAAAGCAGGGGAGGACCAGGAAGCAGCAGCUGUUUGCCAGGAGCUGUGUUCAUCCCUCUACUGCUUCACCACUCCUCUCUUCUCUGUCUUCCCAGCCCUUCUGUAGGGUUUCUGCAACCCCCUGGCUCUGAGCAGUACCAAAUGUCUCAGUCUCCCUCUCCCUGCAGUCCACCACAGAUGCCACAGCAGUACUCAGGAGUGUCACCUUCUGGACCAGGUGUAGUGGUCAUGCAGCUGAAUGUCCCUAAUGGACCCCAGCCCCCUCAGAACCCAUCCAUGGUCCAGUGGAGUCAUUGUAAAUACUACAGCAUGGACCAGCGGGGGCAGAAGCCUGGAGACCUGUACAGUCCUGACAGCAGCCCCCAGGCCAACACACAAAUGAGCAGCAGCCCUGUCACAUCUCCUACCCAGUCUCCAGCACCCUCUCCUGUCACCAGCCUCAGCAGUGUCUGCACAGGACUCAGUCCCCUGCCUGUCCUCACACAGUUCCCCCGGCCUGGGGGUCCAGCACAGGGUGAUGGGCGCUACUCCCUUUU
rnacentral:sRNA from 1 species